CCUACGGGGGGCAGCAGUGGGGAAUAUUGGGCAAUGGGCGCAAGCCUGACCCAGCAACGCCGCGUGAAGGAAGAAGGCUUUCGGGUUGUUAACUUCUUUUCUUAGGGACGAAGCAAGUGACGGUACCUGAGGAAUAAGCCACGGCUAACUACGGGCCCGCAGCCGCGGUCAUACGUGGGUGGCAAGCGUUCUCCGGAUUUACUGGGUGUAAAGGGCGUGUAGGCGGGACUGGAAGUCAGAUGUGAAAACCACGGGCUCAACCUGUGGCCUGCAUUUGAUACUGUAGUUCUUGAGUACUGGAGAGGCAGACGGAAUUCCUAGUGUAGCGGUGAAAUGCGUAGAUAUUAGGAGGAACACCAGUGGCGAAGGCGGUCUGCUGGACAGCAACUGACGCUGAGGCGCGAAAGCGUGGGGAGCAAACAGGAUUAGAUACCCCUGUAGUC
rnacentral:rRNA from 1 species